rnacentral:rRNA from 1 species
UGCAGCGACGCCGCGUGAGGGAUGACGGCCUAUCGGGUUGUAAACCUCUUUCAGCAGGGACGAAGCGAGAGUGACGGUACCUGCAGAAGAAGCACCGGCCAACUACGUGCCAGCAGCCGCGGUAAGACGUAGGGUGCGAGCGUUGUCCGGAUUUAUUGGGCGUAAAGAGCUCGUAGGCGGCUUGUCGCGUCGACCGUGAAAACUUGGGGCUCAACCCCAAGCCUGCGGUCGAUACGGGCAGGCUAGAGUUCGGUAGGGGAGACUGGAAUUCCUGGUGUAGCGGUGAAAUGCGCAGAUAUCAGGAGGAACACCGGUGGCGAAGGCGGGUCUCUGGGCCGAUACUGACGCUGAGGAGCGAAAGCGUGGGGAGCGAACAGGAUUAGAUACCCUGGUAGUCCACGCUGUAAACGUUGGGCGCUAGGUGUGGGGGACCUCUCCGGUUUCCUGUGCCGCAGCUAACGCAUUAAGCGCCCCGCCUGGGGAGUACGGCCGCAAGGCUAAAACUCAAAGGAAUUGACGGGGGCCCGCACAAGCGGCGGAGCAUGCGGAUUAAUUCGAUGCAACGCGAAGAACCUUACCUGGGUUUGACAUGGCCGCAAAACCUCCAGAGAUGGGGGGUCCUUCG